rnacentral:rRNA from 1 species
AUUGAACGCUGGCGGCAGGCUUAACACAUGCAAGUCGAGCGGGGGAGGUUGCUUCGGUAACUGACCUAGCGGCGGACGGGUGAGUAAUACUUAGGAAUCUGCCUAUUAAUGGGGGACAACAUCUCGAAAGGGAUGCUAAUACCGCAUACGCCCUACGGGGGAAAGCAGGGGAUCACUUGUGACCUUGCGUUAAUAGAUGAGCCUAAGUCGGAUUAGCUAGUUGGUGGGGUAAAGGCCUACCAAGGCGACGAUCUGUAGCGGGUCUGAGAGGAUGAUCCGCCACACUGGGACUGAGACACGGCCCAGACUCCUACGGGAGGCAGCAGUGGGGAAUAUUGGACAAUGGGGGGAACCCUGAUCCAGCCAUGCCGCGUGUGUGAAGAAAGCCUUAUGGUUGUAAAGCACUUUAAGCGAGGAGGAGGCUCUUUUGGUUAAUACCCAAGAUGAGUGGAUGUUACUCGCAGAAUAAGCACCGGCUAACUCUGUGCCAGCAGCCGCCGUAAAAC